rnacentral:tRNA from 1 species
GGAGAGAUGGCUGAGAGGACCAAAGCGACGGAUUGCUAAUCCGUUGUACGGGUAAUCCCGUACCGAGGGUUCGAAUCCCUCUCUCUCCG